UCGCGGGUAACUGCGAAUCUGGAGGAAGCCGAAGGCAAAGCGCGGGCCUGACGAACAGGAAGCGGAUACGAGGCGGCACAGCGGGGUAAGGCGGCCAAUAUCGUCGAAGCCCGAAACUUGCACGGAACGCUGUGACGUAUAUCCGACAGGUAUAAGCGUGAAGGUGGGUGCG
rfam:Azoarcus sp. KH32C plasmid pAZKH DNA, complete genome.